rnacentral:rRNA from 1 species
AGAGACAGCAGCAGCCGCGGUAAUACGUAGGGUGCAAGCGUUAAUCGGAAUUACUGGGCGUAAAGCGUGCGCAGGCGGUUAUAUAAGACAGAUGUGAAAUCCCCGGGCUCAACCUGGGAACUGCAUUUGUGACUGUAUAGCUAGAGUACGGCAGAGGGGGAUGGAAUUCCGCGUGUAGCAGUGAAAUGCGUAGAUAUGCGGAGGAACACCGAUGGCGAAGGCGGCCCCCUGGACAAAGACUGACGCUCAGGUGCGAAAGCGUGGGGAGCAAACAGGAUUAGAUACCCCUGUAGUCCCUGUCUCUUAUAC